CAGUAGUUCCAUUUAUGGUGCUUUUUACAGUUAAAGUUGAAUUGAAAUUACCACCUUUGUACCAGUCAAAUAACUACUUCUGUCCAGUAAAAAAAGGUCUGAGGGCAUAUCACAGGAAAAGUAAAAAGCACUGAGAAAACACACUUUUCUUCCUGGGUGCAUUGAGGCUGGCAAUGGACUUUUGAAGAAACUAAGCUGCAGACCAUGAAAAGGUCCUGCUGAUUUAAAGGUUUCAACACUAAGAACAUGUGAACUCCUACAGCUCCAACAUCACAAUUAUGAAUUAUCUAGAAUGACUGGAAUCAGCUGGAGAUUCACAGACAGGGAGUAUGAAGAGAGUUCUGGAGCAACUGAAAUUUUGGCUCUGUAAUUGAAACAAAAAUCCAUAUUUCCUGAGGUUCAUCCAUCUUUUACAUUGGGAAGCCUAGCCAAAGGACGUGGUAAGUUCUGAACUGCCUGGACCUUCUCUGCUCUAGAGAAGCCGCUAGUCCGCCAGUUAUGACAUGUGAAUGAAGCAGACGAGAAUGGAAACUCUUUGUUGGGGAAAUAUUCUAACCAAGACCCUGAACCAUUAUUGAAGUCAGAAACAAUAUUUCCUCAGAGAAAUUAAUCUUUUCUUUCAAAAAUUACAAACAACUCCAC